UACGGGGGGGGCAAGCGUUGUUCGGAAUUACUGGGCGUAAAGGGCUCGUAGGCGGCCAACUAAGUCAGACGUGAAAUCCCUCGGCUUAACCGGGGAACUGCGUCUGAUACUGGAUGGCUUGAGUUUGGGAGAGGGAUGCGGAAUUCCAGGUGUAGCGGUGAAAUGCGCAGAUAUCAGGAGGAACACCAGUGGCGAAGGCGGUGCUCUGGGCCGGAACUGACGCUGAGGAGCGAAAGCGUGGGGAGCAAACAGG
rnacentral:rRNA from 1 species